UCAAAAUUUGUUACACUUUUUGUGUUUAAGGCUUCCUCAUCCUGAAUUAUUGAAGAAUAAUCUAAAAAAUAACUCGGCAAACAUCAUAAAUCAGGGAGGGUGGAUGAAUGGGUCGUUGGAUGACUGGUGUCAAUAUGGCCCAUAAGAGGAUUAAAAGAAAGUGCUCACAUUUUUCUUGUCCCUAUGUGCGCAACGGUUGAUAUUGACCAAAGGCGACCAUUCCCAAGCUGCAUAGCAACAUCUCCAUGGGACGUGCUGAAAUAUUAAACCACCUGAACGACAUAAUAGCCGCCACAUGUGCUUGGGAGGUGGUGUUGUAUAAAUCCCCUAAAAGAAAAACAAAGGUCCGCAACGCAUACAGACAGAGUAUCAGACAGGACACAAAUCCAUAUUUCAUUAGAUGGCAACAGAAGUUUUCGAGCAAUUUGUCAAAAACUGAAAAAUGAAAAAAACAAUUUAUGAUUGAUUUGCUGCAUAGGGAAUGAGGAGUUAAAGAGGGCCAAACAUUGUCUGCCCUGUCAAAAGAUUAAACAAAAUUGUCAAGAAAUAUAAAAUUGAAAUAAAUUUAAUAGCAAAUCAAUACAGGAAAAUAAGCGAAAAAAAUUUCGGUGCCAAAUUUUCAGUAUCCAUAUUUGGGUAUAGCUGCCAUAUAGACCAAUCUCCCGGAAGUAUGGUAUUGAAUCUAUGAAAGGAGCACUUUUCAUUCGAUUUCUUAGAUGUUUUCAUCCAUUGUGAUAUCACUGGAACAGAAGAAGGAAUAUGCCGUCUAGUUCCUACCGUUGAACCAUCCAGAUCGCUUUAAAAAGCCCUGCUAAAUCAGACAGGUGGACCUAACAUGUGGUAGUUGGUAAGCUAGAUGCAUUAUUACAAAUUUGCCUAAAAUAAAUGCAGUUUUUCUAACUUGCCAAAAAAGAUUAAAAAUUUGUUGUAGAAUAAUUUUUAUUGAACUGUCAAUAUUUGAAGCCCCCUACUGUUGUUGGAUAGUUCCAAGCAAUCUACUUCUUUAAUCUAAGAAGUUAGGAGCAAGCAAAUUUAUUGUCAACAACCUAACCAAACUAAAGUCAAACUCCUUCUCACUUCUCCAUUGUUACUAAGUGCCAUUUUUGUCAUUUCCCUUAUAAUUUCUUGUGACACCAUAUUUAUUUCCAUUUUAUGCCAAGGGCUUUUGAAGUUAUUGUUAUAUUACAUCUUUCUUUAUUCCUUCAACCUUUCGCAUGAUUACAUUUCAUCAAUUUUGUUUCUGGGUUAACUUAAUGUACAUAAUUGUUCGUAACAUGAUUUGAAGCUAUUAAUAAAAAUCAUUUACGCUUGAUGUGAUUU